GACGUAGGGCGCGAGCGUUGUCCGGAUUUAUUGGGCGUAAAGAGCUCGUAGGCGGCUUGUUGCGUCGACCGUGAAAACCCGGGGCUCAACUUCGGGCUUGCGGUCGAUACGGGCGGGCUAGAGUUCGGUAGGGGAGACUGGAAUUCCUGGUGUAGCGGUGAAAUGCGCAGAUAUCAGGAGGAACACCGGUGGCGAAGGCGGGUCUCUGGGACGGUACUGACGCUGAGACGCGAAAGCGUGGGGAGCGAACAGG
rnacentral:rRNA from 1 species